CCUACGGGAGGCAGCAGUGGGGAAUUUUGGACAAUGGGCGAAAGCCUGAUCCAGCCAUACCGCGUGCGGGAAGAAGGCCUUCGGGUUGUAAACCGCUUUUGUCAGGGAAGAAAUACUUCGGGCUAAUACCCUGGGGUGAUGACGGUACCUGAAGAUAAGCACCGGCUAACUACGUGCCAGCAGCCGCGGUAAUACGUAGGGUGCAAGCGUUAAUCGGAAUUACUGGGCGUAAAGCGUGCGCAGGCGGUUCUAUAAGACAGAUGUGAAAUCCCCGGGCUCAACCUGGGAACUGCAUUUGUGACUGUAGAGCUAGAGUACGGUAGAGGGGGAUGGAAUUCCGCGUGUAGCAGUGAAAUGCGUAGAUAUGCGGAGGAACACCGAUGGCGAAGGCAAUCCCCUGGACCUGUACUGACGCUCAUGCACGAAAGCGUGGGGAGCAAACAGGAUUAGAUACCCUGGUAGUCCCGACCGACCUAACCGAUAGUCACUAGUUGUUGGGUAGGGUUUACGUUCUCUAGUAACGUAAGACUACGACGUGUAGUGACCGCCGUCGGGAGGUACGGCCGCGAGGUAGUAACGUUAAAGUAGUUAGUUAGUAGGCGUUGAGACGNGCCGACGGACGACGACGAGGGAGGAGG
rnacentral:rRNA from 1 species